rnacentral:lncRNA from 1 species
GGACCAUGGAAUGAAAGUUGGAUCUACCAUGAGAUUUGCUAUUGAGGACUUGGUUUUUAAGCUCUUUGGAGAGGGACCUUCUGUGAGUAAGACUCCUACGCAUACAUCUUCACCUAGUCCUUCUAUCACAGCUCCUACACACAAUAAGGUGAAAGAACAUAUACAGAGAGACAUGGAUGGCAUGGGCCUUGGAAACUGCAUGCAAAAUGCAGAGGACGAUGUCCCUACAGCAAGCAGGUCAAUCUCCCAUGAUUCAGAUGUCGUAGCACAGAACACCAUAAGAUUAGACGCACCUACGACUAGUACAAUGAGAUCAGAUGCACCCGCUUUUUGCCCGACAUUCGGUGCACCACCAGCUGAACAGUUCUUAUCACCAAAGCAGGCUCCUACACGCAGGCGAGACCCCUCUCCAACGAGCGAGCCAGACAUCGCAGACUACUAUGAUCCAGAAAUGUUUCAAACCAGACGCAUGACCCGAUCAAUGUCUAUGUACUACCACCCGAAGAUUUACCCUCGGGAAUACCCUUGAGUACCUUUCAUUAGUUUUUGUUCGUGUCCUGUUUACUGUGAUUGCAUUUUAUCUUCAGAUAUUUGUUACAAUUUACAUUUGCUGGAGGUCAGGUCCAUGCCCCCCUCCUCUAUUUGUUUUCCCACUUUUCAUUAUAUAAAAUAAACCACACUAGUGGUAUUUGCUUAAAAAAAAAAAAAAUCUUACUAAGCCCUGCUACAUAUGCAGGUCGAUCUAAGGUUGUAUGUGUUACCUUUAGUGGAACUUCCUCUUAAAGAAUCUUACAAAGCCCUACUACAUACGCAGACCGAUCUAAAGCUUGACGUGUUCUGCUUAGUGGACAUUCCUCCUAAGGAAUCAUACAAUGCGCUGCUCCAUAUGCAGGCCAAUCUAAGCGUGUAAGUGUUGCGACCCUUAGUGGAUAUUCCUCCUAAGGAAUCUUUCACAGCCCUGCUACAUACGCAGACUAAUCUAAGCCUGCACAUGUUUCCAUUAGUGGACAUUCCUCCUAAAGAAUCUUACAAAGCCCAGCCCCAUAUGUAGGUCGAUCUAAGGGAGGUAGUGCUACAACCCCUAGCAGACAUUCCUCCUAAGGAAUUUUACAAAGCCCUGCUACAUACGCUGGCCGAUCUAUAGCUGUACGUGUUACUCUUAGUGAAAAUUUCUCCUAAGGGAUCUUACAAAGCCCGGCUCCAUACGCAGGCCGAUCUGAGGGCGUAAGUGCUGCGACCCUUAGUGGACAUUCCUCUUACGAAAUCUAACAAAGCCCUGCUAUAUACGUAUGCCAAUCUAAGGCUUUACCUAUUACCCUUAGUGGACAUUCUUCCUAAGGAAUUUUAAAACGCCCAGCUCCAUAGGCAGGUCGAUCUAAGGGCAUAAGUACUGUUAUCCUUAGUGGACAUUUCUCUAAAGGAAUCUUACAAAACUCUGCUACAUACGCAGGCCAAUCUAAGGCGGUACGUGUUACCCGUGGUAGACACUUCUCCUAAGAAAUCUUACAAAGCCCUGCUCUAUAUGCACGUCGAUCUAAGGGUGUAUGUGCUGCGACCCUUAGCGAACAUUCUUCCUAAGGAAUCUUACAAUACCCAUUUGCAUAUGCAAGCCGAUCUAAGGUUGUACGCAUUACCCUUAGUGGACAUUCCACCUAAGGAAUUUUACAAAGCCCUGCUUCAAACGUUGAUCGAUCUACGGCUGUACGUGUUACCCUUUGUGGACAUUCCUCCUAAGGAAUCCUACAAAGCUCUGCUCCAUACACAGGCCGAUCUAAGGGCGUAAGUGUUACGACCCUUAGUAGAUAUUCCUUCUAUAGAAUCUUACAAAGCCCUCCUACAUACGCAUGCUGAUCUAAGGUUUACGUGUUACCUUAAGUGGACAUUUCUCCUAAGGAAUCUUACAAUGCCCUACCAUAUACACAGGCCGAUCUAAAGCUGUACGUGUUACCCUUAGUGGACAUUCCUUCUAAGGAAUCUUACAAAGCCUUGCUCCAUACGCAGGUUGAUAUAAGGGCGUAAGUCCCGCGAUCCUUAGAGGACAUUAGUCCAAUGGAAUCUUACAAAGCCCGGCAAUAUACGCAGGCCGAUCUAUGGAUGUACGUGUUACCCUUAGUGGAAAUUCUACCUAUGGAAUCAUACAAAGCACUGCUCCAUACGUAGGCCGAUCUAAGGGCGUAAGUGCUAUGACCUUUAGUGGACAUUCCUCCUAAGGAAUCUUAUAAAGCACUGCUACAUACGUAGGUCGAUCUGAGGCUGUACGCGUGGACAUUCCUCCUAAGGAAUCUUACAAAGCCCUGCUACGUACGCAGGCUGAUCUAAGGCUGUACGUGUUGCCCUUAGUGGACAUUCCUCCUAAGGAAUCUUACAAAGCCCUGCUCCAUACACAGGCCGAUAUAAGGGCGUAUGUGCUACAAACCUUAGUGGACCUUCCUCAUACGGAAUCUUACAAAGCCCUGCUACAUACGUAUGUCGAUCUAAGGCUUUACAUGUUACCCUUACUGGACAUUCCUCCUAUGUAAUCUUACAAAGGUCAACUCCAUACGCAGGCCGAUCUAAGGGCGUAAGUGCUGCGACCCUUAGUGGACAUUCCUCCUAAGGAAUCUUACAAAGCCCUGCUACGUACGCAGGUCGAUCUAAGGCUGAACGUGUUACCAUUAGUGGACAUUCCUCCUAAGGAAUCUCACAAAUCCCUGCUACGUACGUAGGCCGAUAUAAGGUUGUACGUGUUGCCCUUAGUGGACAUUCCUCCUAAGAAAUCUUACAAAGCGCUGCUCUAUACGCAGGUCGAUCUGAGGGCGUAAGUGCUGCGACCCUUAAUGGACAUUUCUCCUACGGAAUCUUACAAAGCCCUGCUACAUAAGUAUGUCGAUCUAAGGCUUUACUUGUUACCCUUAGUGGACAUUCUUCCUAAGGAAUCUUACAAAACACAGCUACAUACACAGGCCGAUCGAUGGCUGUACGUGUCACCCCUAGUUGACAUUUCUCCUAAGGAAUCUUGCAAAACCCUGCUCCAUAUGCAGGCCGAUCGAAGGGCGUAUGUCACACCCCCAAAUUAAUAUUGAUAUCUAUACACAACCUAGACAAAGAAUUUUACAUAUAUAUUUUUUUUUUUGAGUUUGUUAACUUCUAAUCACCUGUGACACGAUCAUAUAAUAUAUCAAAACCCAAAAUCAUAUCGCCAUAAUCCAAUAUAUAUAUAUUCAGACCUUAUAAACAUGUCUACAGGCCAUUUCAAAAGUACACUAUAUAGGAUUCCAAAAUAUAACCCAACAGAUGGUAGCCUACAAAAUAACCCUACAGGUCGUCAUCCAUGUACAUCGAACUCUGGAAUCCUGUAGGAGCUCCACAGCUAGCCAUACUCUCUAUGUAGUUUCGUGUUCACCUACAAUGCAAGAACUACAUAAGCCAAUGCUUAGUAAGCAAAAUCAUGCAUGUCCUGAACAUGAGUAAUAACAACAUAUGACACCAUGCCAUUUACUUUAAAUAUCAUGAUAAAAAUAUCAUAUUUCAAUAUUCGUCAAAGUCGACCAGAAAUCAUUUCACUUGAAAUCUUUCAUUUCAUUGGGCCCUUGACCCACCUACUAUGCACCGGAUAGAGCUCUGCAUAAUAUCAAUAUCAAUAAUCAAAUGGCCAGUAUAAAAUCGACACCGACAAGUGGACCAUCCUCUCGUGACCACUAGAGGCCCAUCCCCUGACUACCCCUAUGAUCACCCAAGAAGUCUCCCACCNAAAACAAAAAAAAAAAAAAAAAAAAAAAAAAAAACCUCCUAUCGAGGUACCCACUUCUCCUAUUAUUACUUCCAUAGCUCCUAUUCCCACAGCUAUUACUGAUGUACCCCCUGAGCCGACACAUAUGAGUUCUCCACCAUUAAAGACACACACAGAUAGUACUCAAUCAGCGCAGGGAUCAGGUACCGGGACAGUUCCUCAAACCACUCUUGCACAGGGGUUGUUGGCUGAGAUCAGCUCAGAGCGACAUGGUGUCAAGCAUAUGUUGAUUGAUCACUUUAAGAAGGACCAUGGAAUGAAAGUUGGAUCUACCAUGAGAUUUGCUAUUGAGGACUUGGUUUUUAAGCUCUUUGGAGAGGGACCUUCUGUGAGUAAGACUCCUACGCAGACACCUUCAUCUAGUCCUUCUAUCACAGCUCCUACACACAAUAAGGUGAAAGAACAUAUACAGAGAGACAUGGAUGGCAUGGACCUUGGAAACUGCAUGCAAAAUGCGGAAGAUGAUGUCCCUACAGCAAGCAGGUCAAUCUCCCACGAUUCAGAUGUCGUAGCACAGAACACCAUGAGAUUAGAC